rnacentral:tRNA from 1 species
GCGGUCGUGGCCGAGUGGUUAAGGCGUCUGACUUGAAAUCAGAUUCCCUCUGGGAGCGUAGGUUCGAACCCUACCGGCCGCG